AGAAUCAACGCUGGCGGCGUGCCUAACACAUGCAAGUCGAACGCGAAAGUCCCGCAAGGGGCGGGUAGAGUGGCAAACGGGUGAGUAACACGUGGGUGACCUGCCUUCGAGUGGGGGAUAACGUCCCGAAAGGGACGCUAAUACCGCAUAACAUCCUGCCUUUGAACAGGUGGACAUCAAAGCUGGGGACCGCAAGGCCUGGCGCUUGAAGAGGGGCCCGCGCCUGAUUAGCUAGUUGGUGGGUAAUGGCUCACCAAGGCAACGAUCAGUA
rnacentral:rRNA from 1 species